AAUAAGUUUAUUUUUCAGUUAUUAGAUAUAAUAUUUUGACUCUUCGUCUUAUUUAAUUUUUUUGCAAUUACUAUUUUUAUUGUUACUAGAUGGUAAAACAUGAAUACUAGUACUUUAUGCGUGACUAAUUUUUUUAAAUUUUAUACAAAAUUUUCAAAUAAGACAAAUGGUCAAAUUUUGGACAUGAAAAUCGAAAAAUGAAGUUAUU
rnacentral:pre_miRNA from 1 species